GUGUGCCUAAUACAUGCAAGUCGAACGCGUUGGCCCAACUGAUUGAACGUGCUUGCACGGACUUGACGUUGGUUUACCACGAGUGGCGGACGGGUGAGUAACACGUAGGUAACCUGCCCCAAAGCGGGGGAUAACAUUUGGAAACAGAUGCUAAUACCGCAUAACAAUUUGAAUCGCAUGAUUCAAAUUUAAAAGAUGGCUUCGGCUAUCACUUUGGGAUGGACCUGCGGCGCAUUAGCUUGUUGGUAGGGUAACGGCCUACCAAGGCUGUGAUGCGUAGCCGAGUUGAGAGACUGAUCGGCCCAAUGGAACUGAGACACGGUCCAUACUCCUACGGGAGGCAGCAGUAGGGAAUCUUCCACAAUGGGCGCAAGCCUGAUGGAGCAACACCGCGUGAGUGAAGAAGGGUUUCGGCUCGUAAAGCUCUGUUGUUAGAGAAGAACGUGCGUGAGAGCAACUGUUCACGCAGUGACGGUAUCUAACCAGAAAGUCACGGCUAACUACGUGCCAGCAGCCGCGGUAAUACGUAGGUGGCAAGCGUUAUCCGAUUUAUUGGGCGUAAAGCGAGCGCAGGCGGUUUGAUAAGUCUGAUGUGAAAGCCUUUGGCUUAACCAAAGAAGUGCAUCGGAAACUGUCAGACUUGAGUGCAGAAGAGGACAGUGGAACUCCAUGUGUAGCGGUGGAAUGCGUAGAUAUAUGGAAGAACACCAGUGGCGAAGGCGGCUGUCUGGUCUGCAACUGACGCUGAGGCUCGAAAGCAUGGGUAGCGAACAGGAUUAGAUACCCUGGUAGUCCAUGCCGUAAACAUGAGUGCUAGGUGUUGAGGGUUUCCGCCCUUCAGUGCCGAGCUAACGCAUUAAGCACUCCGCCUGGGGAGUACGACCGCAAGGUUGAAACUCAAAGGAAUUGACGGGGGCCCGCACAAGCGGUGGAGCAUGUGGUUUAAUUCGAAGCUACGCGAAGAACCUUACCAGGUCUUGACAUCUUGCGCCAACCCUAGAGAUAGGGCGUUUCUUUCGGGAACGCAAUGACAGGUGGUGCAUGGUCGUCGUCAGCUAGUGUCGU
rnacentral:rRNA from 1 species